ACCGCGCACUCAUUGGGAGGCAGCCUCAUCGACGGACCGUCGCCUCCCUCCUCAUACGCGUCGCCUCCCGAAGCUUCCCUCAAGUUUAUCCUCCUUGACUUUGUAUGGUCGCGACUCACGGUAUGGUUGCGACUCACUUUGCUCGAUGGAUCUUUCGAAUUUGAGGAAACUAUCGUCUCUCCAGAUUUCGCGCUCUGCAGUUGCAGAGAUUCAGGGCCUCGGUUGUUUGGAGAACCUGCGAGAUUUGGAGCUUGGUUGCCUCGGACGGCUGGCGAUGCUACCUGAUCUAAGCAAGUUAAACAAGCUAAGGUGUAUUCAAGUAUCGAAUUGUGGUAAUCUAGUUCAGAUUCAAGAACUACCGCGGUUUUUGGAUCGACUUGAAAUUAAAUUCUGUCGUUCGUUACAGGAGUUGCCCGAUCUGUUCAGCUUAAUGGUUAAGACAGAUGUUGAAAUAUUUAUGUGCGAUCAGGUUCUUGAACGUGCUGUCAUGAAUCGACGUGGGUUGGUGCUUUCUGGCUUUAAACAGAUAAAGAUCCUACCUAAUCUAAGCAAUUCGAAUGAACUAAGAAUUCUUCGAGUAGAAAACUGUGGUAAUCUGGUUGAGAUUGAAGGCGAACUACCCCAAUCUUUGGAAGAAUUGGAGAUUGAAUCCUGUGAAUCUUUACACAAGUUGCCUGAUUUGUCAAGCUUGAAGGGACUGCAAAAGGUUAGAAUAAGACGUUGCGGGAAAUUAGCGGUGGAGGAAAUUUCUCGGCUUUGCUCGGAGAAGUCACUUACAUUUGUGGGAGAAGACGAUGAAUAAGUGCACGUUGCACUUGGAAGCUUUUUGAUGCGCGACCACAAAUUGUUCCCUCGUGUUCAAACCCUAAACGAAUUGAGGAAAGGUGUGCUUCUUAGUGGGAUUUGCAAAUGUUAUGGGGAAGUGCAUAAAAUGAAGAAACAUGAAUUUCACUUAGGUUGCGGCGUCUAUAGUUGGCGCAGCACAACUUCCAUCCACGACAGGAGAGGAGAGACUAUUUAGCCUCUCCAAGGUUACAUAAAUCAUCUUCUAGUUAAGGCUAACUUUCAAGAGAGGAGAAUUAUCUAACUUUCAUGGAUUUAACCACAAUGAGGGAGCCAUCGCAAUUCCAAGAUUACCAAUGUCGUGGCACUGGCUAAAGCAGCAGCACCAGAAUAUUUUAUCUCAGCGACGAUGCCCUCAAUCAUAGCAAUCUUUGACGGGCACACUGACAAAAAUCAUUCUGUGCAGCAAACAUCGCCUACGGGAGUAAUUGAGAAAAUGCAGCAUUCGCUGUACCAGUAGAGAAGGAGCGCCCUUUGUUGAGACUCGAGAAUUGCACUCACUUACAAAAGAUUGGUAAGAAAAAGAGAGCACCUUCCCCUGGGGCCGCCUUCAGUAAUAGAACUGUGCAUUCGGAAGCAAUAUCGGCAUUGUUUCUGUCAUGAGACCCACUCAAUUCCAGAAAACACUGGCACUGCCACCAAAGUCGGUUAUGUGUCAUAUGCUACUUGCCGCCUCAAAAGAACUUUCAUCAAGUAGUGUUGGCUCUUCCAUGUACGUGGAACCUUUUGUAGAACCUAAUGAUCAUAAAAGAAGAGCUUUGCCUAAGCCAAGCGUCAAUUUGGGAAAAUCUUCCAUAUUCUUCGCAUGUACUACUUUCAGCUGAGAAAGCAACUUGGGAUCCAUAGCCGGCGCGAUGCCAGAGCCAUGCGCAGCUCAACAUCAUUCACAUUUGCACAGGACAAAUCACCAAAUGAAAAUCUGAAGCAAUGGCUGACUGUCUUUGGUUGUAGAAUCUCAGAAAUUUAGUCAAGUUGAACUCUUUGAGCAUCAGGAGGAGUUUCUGUGCAAACAUUGGUAAUGGGGUCCUCAUCCUCAAUCAAGGUUGGGUAAAGAGGGAGAAAUUGCACCUAGGAUAUGGAUUUCAAGUCUGCCAACUUAUGCUCUAACGCUGGAGUUUUGAUUAGGAAAACGAACAUAGCGUCAAACGGAACCUUGAGGCACAGAAAUCAGGCAUCACCAUCCUUGUUGCCCUUAUACAGAACAUCCAGACUCAGCAGAAUCCCACGGAUGAAUAUGUCAGAGCUUUCGGGAAUCUAGUGACUCCUCUGUAAUGGACUCAACGCUUACAUUUUGGUUCAGCAAUGCAGGUUCUUGGAAUAGAUCGAUGUUGUGCUCUGGUUUUCUUUUUCAAUCCUGAACUGCUCUUGGAUUGUGUUUGUAAUUAGUGUGCUGAAUUAUGCUUCGUGUGAGUGUGAACCAUCUAAGUUUUGCCUGUCCAGUGUUUGGUGAUCAUGUGCAAUUUUGGCGUUCGAUGAAAUGAGCUAUGUGCUUGAGACUGCGUGUGCUGGAAUGUCACCUUCAAGAAGCACCUGAAGCAGAAGCUGAAGCACAAUGUCUAUUGCCACGGCCUCCUCUUUCUGCGCACCUCUACCGGCAAGGUGCCCUAUGAUGGAGCAAGCAGCUGUCGGAAUGCAGGAUUUUGAAGAAUGAUGAAGUUAUUUGUUCCGGUGAGUCAUCCAUGUUCAAUGCUUAUUUGGUUGCUGUUGGAGAGCCUGAAGGAGGGUAGAAACCUCUACAUGAUACUUAUAUUCACAGCUUGGUUAUUGUUGGGCAAUUGGAUUUAUAAGUUCCCUCUGCCUUGGGUAUUGCUUGCUUGUCUUCUUAAUGUAUGAAUUCAAAUUCAGUCCUAUAUAUUCCGAUUAUAAUCCCAAACUUUUGAGUGAAAAAACAGAAACUUACCAAAAAAGUCAUACAUCUAUUGUAAUUGUAUCAAUUCAGUCCCAAAACUUGCGCAUGAUUAAUGCAC